UAAUAUUAUGUGUGCAUAUACUACAAUUGAAAUGAUACAUAGAAGAUUAGCAUGACUUCUGUUCAAGUAUGACACCCAAAUUUGUGAAGCAUUAAAAUAAUAA